rnacentral:lncRNA from 1 species
UUGGACGACUUAGUAAGGAUUUUAACUAAGUCUAAACAAAUUAAUAACAAAGCAUGUAAAAGGAAAAGGGGAGAAAAUCAAAGACUUAGGCCUUUGGGCCCAAAUCAAUAGACCUUGUCCUAUUCAAAUUUGGACUUUGGCUCAUAACCUGUCCUAAGCUAGUUUUUGGACCUUUGAGGCCCAAAAUCCGCCUCACCUGUAUUAAAAUACAACUUUGACUUCGAGGUCCAAAUAAAUGAAUAAAUAAAAAGAAUACAAUAAUAAAAAUUGAAACUUUUCAAGUCUCUUAGUGACCUCAACAAUGGAUUUUGACCCAUUUUCCUUCUUCGUCUAUCUUUUAGCACCCGCACGCCAUGUAGUGGACCUUGGGUUUAAACUUCGUACUUGAUUCGAAGAGGUGAGCCUCAUUGACCUAUUGUAAAAUGCAAGAAGAGAGGAGUCCAUUUGGGUUCGAGAUAUUUUUUGAAUGCGAAGAAAAGAUAAAGAAAUUAAUAUACGUUCAAGACAUAAUAGUUACAUACUUUAAAGCAAAAAGAAAAUAUCAAGAAUCAAUUUUUGAAUUACAAUGAUAUGCACACUUGCACACAUAUAACAAGAGUGAGAGUCAAUAGAUAAAAUGCAAAGCAAAGACAUCCACUUGCAUGCCUCAUGACUUAUGUUCAUAUUAAGAAUGAAUAAAGAUAAAAGGAAAAAGGUCAUAUUCAAUGAAUUAAUGCGAGAAAUAAACAACGUAAACUUGCGAAAGUAAAGGGGUGAGGCAACAAGAAAAAUACUCAUGACUUCUAAAAUUGAACAAACAUAGACAUUAAUCCAUAUAACAAAAGAAAAUAAAGGUUAAUUUUUCAAGAAAGAGAAUCUUUAAAUUUCAAUUAAGGCGACAUUAACAAAAAUUCAUAUAUCUAAAUUACAAUCAAUAUUUUAUGGAAAAACAUGUAACGACCUAUGAUUUAUACUUCUAAGACAUUGUUGACUCUCUUUUGAUAUUAUCAAUAAAAGAGAGACAUGAAUCAAGUCUUACACAUACAAAGAGCACAUAUAACAAUGCGGAGUAAGAAAAUAAGAAUAAAUGUUUAACAUCUCAAAAAGUGAAAUGUUGUUCAGCAAUCAUACUAUGCAUGAGUCAAAAAUAUCCAAAUAAUUCUAUUUAGCCACAAAAGUCCGAACUUUCUCAUCAUUUUGACAAGACAACAUAGAAACAAAAAAGGAAUAAACAUCUUGGAUGAAAAAUAAAGCUAGCACUCCAUCUCUUAUAUGAGGAUUUUGAAAUCCAUUAAAAUAAUUAGCAAGCAAAUGAUAAGUUUUUUACUUAACUAAUUACUAUUUUUAGUAAGGUGAAACAAAUAAUAAUAACUAUUUUUCCAACAUAAAAGAAACAACUUUAUAUGCUAAAACAAACAUAUCCGCCAACAAAAAAUUUAAACAAUGCAUGAGUUCGUCUUUUGAGUAAAGAUCAAAACUUUAUACAUAACAAUCACAGAAUAAAGUCAAAAGGCAAAAUUUUCAACAUAAAGGAAAUAACUUUACAUGCUAAAAACAAACAUAUCUACACAACGAGUUUUAACAAGACAUGGGUAUGUUUUUCAAGCAAAGAUCUAAACUUUAUCCAAAAUAAUCAAAGAAUAAGGUCAAAAGGCAAAACAAUCAAUAUUAACUAUUCUUUCAACAUAAAGAAAAUAACUUUACAUGUUAAAAACAAACACAUCCACCAACAAUGAGUGUAAACAAGACAUGAGUAUGUUUUUCAAACAAAGAUCUAAACUUUAUCCAAAAUAAUCAAAGAAUAAAGUGAAAAGGCGAACAAUCAAUAUUAACUAUUCUUUUCAACAUUAAGAAAAUAACUUCACAUGCUAAAAACAAACAUAUCCACCAACAAUGAGUUUAAACAAAGCAAAGAUUGAAACUUACAACUAUUACUAGCUCAUUUUUAUAUCAUGAACAUACAAAUAAUUAAAAUAUCAAUACCACAAUGUCCUAUGGCCUUCAAGACCAUCUACAGCAAACAAUCCCAGCAAACAAAAUUAUAACUACGAAGAAGAAAAUGAUAAUAAAAUUAAAAAAACGAAAGGUGUUUUUACCUUUUUGGGGGCAGCAAAAUGAGAGACUACGAGUUCGUCGGGAUCAACCACCACCGAAAGUCGCAGGCAACUCGAAAAUUUUGAUUAGCCGACCAACUCUAUGAAACAAAAAUUUUUACUAAAUAAAAAUAACUAUUUUGCUCAAAAGGAUUUUUUUCACCUUUCUAGCCUCUUCUUUUUUUAAACUUUUCAACCCCCUUUUCUACCAAAGUAGUGGUAGUAUUUAUAGGAGAGAAUGAGA